GUGUCCACGACAUACGUGGUCUGCUUUGUGAUUGCAGAUUUGUGUGUUGCAUCCCACGUUUGUCGUGUGGGGAGUAUUAGAGAUAUGUUGGACCGGAAGAUAUGUAUCUUACGGACCAAGACUGUGAAGCCCGUCAAACCCAUGAAGACUUUCAAGACUAAAAGGAAAGACUUGAAGAACAAGUUAAUCUCAAGAUAUUCUUAUCAUAUUUACAUUAAUAUGUUUAGGAAAGUUAUCAUUAUCUAGUGUUAACAUUAUGUUAAUGUUACCACUAUAUAUAUGCAUCUUGUAUUCUCAUAUCAAACACAACACAAUAAUAUAUUAUAUUUUAUUAUACUUUACAGU
rnacentral:lncRNA from 1 species